GACCUUAAUGUCAUCCGUGUUCGAGGGGCAAAAGAAAAGGAAAUUGCCAAGGCAUUGUUGAAGAAAAACGAAAAGACCACCGUUUCGGGCAAGGGAAAGGAAAAUGCAUGUUCAGUAGCACAUAACAAUAAUGUUAUAUCGAAAGCUGCAUUGGCUCAACGUGCACGGUGAGAACGCGAAAGAAAUGAUAAGGCAAGCUCUUCAUAACAAUUGGGACAACGUUCGCGACGUGAACGAGAGAGAUCGAGAGAAUUGAUUCCACCAAGCACAACUAAUACUCCAUCGACUCAGAAAGGAGUAAUGUUUACACAUCUUACUUCGCCAAGCACAUCUUUAGCUUCACAAAGGAAUUGGUAAAAUAUUGUAUUUAAUUCUACAAAUACAUAUUCUUAUUGUUAAGAUUUUAUUUUAUAAAUUUUAUUUUGUACACAACAAAUAUUUGUAGGCCUACUCAUGCAAGCCCAUUCCUCCACGAGACUAG